rnacentral:lncRNA from 1 species
AACAUGCUCUGCAGAGAAAUCAAAGAUGGCGGUUGUAUCUGCUGUUCGCUGGCUGGGCCUCCGCAGCAGGCUUGGCCAGCCGCUGACGGGUCGGCGGGCGGGUUUGUGUGAACAGGCACGCAGCUGCAGUUCCCCUCAAGAAAGAGAAACCACUCCAUCUGAUACUGCAGAAACCUUUGUGCUGCCAUUCAAUGCCAGUCCUCCGUUUCCUGAUUUUAUUCUGGUAGUGCAACCCUCUCAAAGGUUGAAGGAACUGAUGUAACAGGGAUUGAAGAAGUAGUAAUUCCAAAAAAGAAAACUUGGGAUAAAGUAGCCGUUCUUCAGGCACUUGCAUCCACAGUAAACAGGGAUACCACAGCUGUGCCUUAUGUGUUUCAAGAUGAUCCUUACCUUAUGCCAGCAUCAUCUUUGGAAUCUCGUUCAUUUUUACUGGCAAAGAAAUCCGGGGAGAAUGUGGCCAAGUUUAUUAUUAAUUCAUACCCCAAAUAUUUUCAGAAGGACAUAGCUGAACCUCAUAUACCG